rnacentral:rRNA from 1 species
CGAACGUAAGAUGACUGUAGGUGAAAGCUUACAUCUCUUCGGAGCAUUUUACGAGGUGCUGCAUGGUUGUCGUCAGCUCGUGCCGUGAGGUGUCGGGUUAAGUCCCAUAACGAGCGCAACCCCUACCUUUAGUUGCCAUCAGGUUAAGCUGGGGACUCUAAAGGAACUGCCUACGCAAGUAGUGAGGAAGGCGGGGAUGACGUCAAAUCAGCACGGCCCUUACGUCCAGGGCUACACACGUGCUACAAUGGCCGAUACAGAGGGCAGCUACCUGGUGACAGGAUGCAAAUCUCCAAAGUCGGUCUCAGUUCGGAUCGGAGUCUGCAACCCGACUCCGUGAAGUUGGAUUCGCUAGUAAUCGCGCAUCAGCCAUGGCGCGGUGAAUACGUUCCCGGGCCUU